CCGGCCUGUAUACAUUUAUAGAGGCACUGCUACUGUAUAGCAGCUUCUGUAUGUAGGCCAGGGACCCGGGGGUUACUACUGAUAUAAAGAUGCUGAUAAAAGCAGCUCCCCAGUGUAAUGCUACCACCACCCUACUUCACUGCACCUCUGGGUCCAACCAUCUCAAGAACUCUGCAUAUGACUGACCUGUAUGGGAGGGGGCAUAGAAGAAACAAUGACUCAAAAGGAAUCAAGUGAUUGAGUUCUUCAUUUCGAGACUGAAGAAUAAAAAGUCGUUAUGAGAUGCGAGACGCGUUGUUCUGCAGUCCUACUCCCCGGCAUUCAUCAUUUCACUUUAUUUCUACACAUUUUAUUCAGCCUUCUAGAUGUUUUUAAUAUGCAUUAGAAAUGUAAUUAUUCUCACCUUCCUCCUCCGGGUGUAGAUUGGAUUGUAUUCCCUGACAGCAUCAUCACAUGGGAAUAAACCACAUCAAUACAGUAUAA